GAUUAAAGGUAGGCCAGAAGUUAGAGGGCUUCCCCACUUUAUUUUUGGGCAGUCGAUGGGAGGUGCAAUUGCUCUGAAAGCUCUUCUUAAGGAACCACAUGAAUGGGAUGGAAUUGUCCUUGUCGCGCCAAUGUGCAAAAUUGCAGAAGACAUGACGCCACCAGUUCCACUGCAGAAAGUCUUGAUUUUUUUGUCUAACAUUAUGCCACAAGCAAAGAUAGUCCCUACGAAAGAUUUGGCGGAGUUGGCAAUCAGGGAAUUCAAGAAAAGGAAAAUGGCUCCAUACAAUGUAAUCUCUUACUCCGAUAAAACACGUGUGAAAACUGCCGUGGAACUCUUAAAUGCUACAAAAUACAUUGAACAACAUGUGGAUAAGGUGGCAUCCCCAAUGCUCAUUCUUCAUGGAGCAGACGAUAGAGUGACAGAUCCUCGCGUGAGUCAGUACCUGUAUGACAAGUCUUCCAGCAGUGACAAAACUCUUAAGCUCUACGAUGGAGGGUUUCACUGCAUUCUUGAAGGUGAACCUGAUGAUCGGAUUCUUA
rnacentral:misc_RNA from 1 species